AAAGUCCAAUGGCAAAGAUUAACUUUCUUUACUGUAUAUCCUCUUUUUCUACACAAAACUAGGUCUCUAAAGUGGGAAAACUUGGGGAGAUCAGAGAGCCUCUCUUCCCCUCUUGGGUCAAAGAAAGAAAGUCUGUCUGAGAGACAGGUACCCAUCUUCAAGAUAUCCACCAGGAAUGUCCAGAAAAGAUAUUCUACCUAAGCAUUAGGAAGAACCUCCUGAUGGUAAGAGCAGUCCAACAAUGGAAAUACGGUGCCUUGGUGUGGUGGAAUCUCCUUCUUUGGACAAUUUGAAAGGGAGAGUGGGUGGCCAUCUGUCAAG
rnacentral:lncRNA from 11 species